rnacentral:tRNA from 1 species
GCCGGAGUGGUGAAAUUGGUAGACACUGGGGACUUAAAAUCCCUUGGUUUUUCAAGACCGUACCGGUUCGAGUCCGGUCUCCGGCA